CCCUAUGGGGUGCUGCGGGUGAUGGACGAGGAGGGAAACAUGCUGGAAGACUGAGUCUCUCCUGAACGUUAUCGUGAGCUUUUUGCCGAAGCCGUGGAACCCUGGAGCUAUCUCAAGUUUCCUUACUACAAGCCUCGCGGGCGUGAGAGAGGUCUCUACCGCGUGGGCCCCCUGGCGCGUCUGAAUCUUUGCGACUUUGCGGGAACGCCUCGGGCGGAUCGUGAGCUCCUUCAAUUUCGGAGUUUUGGAAAGACAGGAAAGCCCGUUACGGGAAGUUUUCACUAUCAUUAUGCGCGGCUCAUCGAAAUCCUUUUUGCCCUGGAAAAGAUCUCCGAAACGCUGGACGAUCCCGUUCUCAUGCAUGUGCCACUGCGGAGCCAGGCGGGCGUAAACCGGCGGCUGGGCGGGGGGGC
rnacentral:rRNA from 1 species